rnacentral:tRNA from 1 species
CGGGGCGUGGCGCAGCCCGGUAGCGCACCUGCUUUGGGAGCAGGGGGUCGGAGGUUCAAAUCCUCUCGCCCCGA